rnacentral:rRNA from 1 species
CCUACGGGGGGCAGCAGUGAGGAAUAUUGGUCAAUGGGCGCGAGCCUGAACCAGCCAAGUAGCGUGAAGGAUGACUGCCCUACGGGUUGUAAACUUCUUUUAUAAAGGAAUACAGUGAGGCACGUGUGCCUUUUUGUAUGUACUUUAUGAAUAAGGAUCGGCUAACUCCGUGCCAGCAGCCGCGGUAAUACGGAGGAUACGAGCGUUAUCCGGAUUUAUUGGGUUUAAAGGGAGCGUAGAUGGGUUGUUAAGUCAGUUGUGAAAGUUUGCGGCGCAACCGUAAAAUUGCAAUUGAUACUGGCAGCCUUGAGUACAGUUGAGGUAGGCGGAAUUCGUGGUGUAGCGGUGAAAUGCUUAGAUAUCACGAAGAACUCCGAUUGCGAAGGCAGCUUACUAAACUGCCACUGACAUUGAUGCUCGAAAGUGUGGGUAUCAAACAGGAUUAGAUACCCUUGUAAGUC